ACGAAGAAAAAGAAACGGAGCAAGAGAGAAACACAGAGAGGGAGAGCUCUGUCCGUGAGAAAACAAGGGGGCGGGAGAAAGGGAGCGAGAACUCGACUGAGAAAGCUCGAGGACGCAACUUACGAAGAAGAGUGACGAGGGAAGUCAAGAGGGUGAUGAGGAUAGGGAAUGCGGGAGUGUAAUGGAGACCAGGAGAACGACUUAAGAGGGAGUUGAGCUCAAAAUCAAAAUUUUUCAUCCAUGGCGUUUGGCGUUCAGGGAGGUGAAUAGAACGGGGCCAGUGAAGAGUGUAAUGGGCUCGAGGAAGAAAGCGAUUCGUAGGAUGACUUAUAAUAUUCUUCUUGAUUGAGCUUAAUUUAUUUAAUUAUGCUCUUGCUGUGAAAUACAAAACAACUAAUUAGUUGGAUGAAUAAAUUAGAGAACUCAUUGGAUUAGUUUAGACUAGCUCAUUUAAAUGUUUAGUGAACUAAGUUAUGACAAGUUAAUGGUGUUGAAAUGUAUUUAUAUUUACUCAGUUCUUGCUAAUUUAGUAGUUGUACCGAGAGUUGAUUUUUCAUUAAAGUUGUCGUUCGUAUGCGCUUUACUGAAUUGUGAGAUGGAAGUAAUGGAAGAGCGAAGAGCUAGAGAUAUCCACAUGAGUUGGUGAGAUUGGUAAAGGAUGACCUAUUGUUGUCUUUCUCUUUGUAUUUGGAUGUGGCCACUAAACCUAUUGUACCUAUUUUUGGGUUAUCAAUAUUCUAAGUUAAUAAUUAGCUUAUAUAGGUUGACUAAGGUUGAUAAACUGUAAAGUAUGAAAUAUGCUAGGAUAGAGAAUUUCUAAGAGGAUGAUUCUUUAUAUGGGGUGUUUGGUGGUUGAUGCUAAUGGUGCAUUCUAUUUUAGAUUUAUUCGAUCCUUUAAUGUCAUUGUGGUGUGAUUUGGUAUGAGGACCAGUGGAUAAUAUAAUUUAUGAGAUCUAAGUUAAUUUCUAAACUAUAUUUAUGAUUGAUAGGGGCUUAGAGCACUAAUAUUGUGCAUCCUGAAGGUCAAGUUUGGUGAAUCAUUUUUGGUGUUAGAUAAGCGUCUAGCUGCGCGGAUGAAUCACUUUUUGAUGUCGGGGAUCAGCUCGGAGAACUAGGUAGAGACUUUAGUUAUUUGAUAGAUAUUCUUUUUGCAUAGAAUGUAAUUGAAUAUAUUACGACCUGAAAUUUAUGUUUAGUUUUGGUUUAGUGAUUGGUUGAGGAAAGAAAAUUACUCCCUUUUGAGAUGUAUAUACAUAUUAGAGCUUGGUUUUAUAUUUUUGAGAGUCCAUUGAAAACCUGUUUUAUGUUAGUAGUUAUGUGGUAACGGGUAACGAAGAAAUAUAAGGGAAAUUUAGCUGAAAUUUCGGGUCGUGACAAUUUUGGUAUCAGAGCCUAGGUUAGGAGAUUCUGUAGACUUUAUCUAUCGGUUGAUCCCCGAGAAACUUAUUGAUGAUUUCAGAUACCUUUUGUUA